GUCCACAUUUCUGAAAACGUCUCCUGGUCCCUUAAACCUCAGUGCAAGAAAGGUGAAACAUUGGAUCACGAAGGAAGAGCUGCAUCUCCUGAAAUGUAACUCCAAGAACACUCACCUCGUGAGGCCAUUUACCACUUUCAAAAAGAACGUCACACCAGACUGCCUACCGUUCCUCUGUUGUCCAACCACGCCACAGCCUCGACAGUUCCACGUCUGCCAUCUUCGCCUUUCCCUCAUCAGCUGUCAGCAGUGCUUCCACAACCUUUAAUACAUUUACUUUUGCCAGUCCACUGAUUGUAGCCAGAAUAUUGAUUGUAGCCGAACAUAGUGUAGUUGGGUUUGGUGUGAACAAAAAUACUGCUUCAUCAUUACUAUAAUGUUCCUCCAGGUUUAUUGACACACAAGGACUCAGACAUAUUGAUAAUUGAGCUUCCAGCUUGAAGUUACUGUCUGAAUAUAAAUAGACUCAUUAUACUCAAUAAAUGUAAUUCUCUGAAUAAUAAUACCAUAAUGCGCCAUAGUAAAACAAUGAAACUGAUGACAGUUUUUAAUCUGUGACUUGAUAGGUAAUAUGGUUAUGUUCUCUUACCCUUGAUGCCACCAAUGUU